rnacentral:rRNA from 1 species
UAGGGAAUCUUCCGCAAUGUGCGAAAGCCUGACGGAGCAAUGCCGCGUGUGUGAAGAAGGCCUUCGGGUCGUAAAACUCUGUUAUAAGAGAAGAACAAAUUGUAGAGUAACUGCUACAGUCUUGACGGUAUCUUAUCAGAAAGCCACGGCUAACUACGUGCCAGCAGCCGCGGUAAUACGUAUGUGGCAAGCGUUGUCCGGAUUUAUUGGGCGUAAAGGGAGCGCAGGUGGUUUCUUAAGUCUGAUGUGAAAGCCCACGGCUUAACCGUGGAGGGUCAUUGGAAACUGGGAAACUUGAGUACAGAAGAGGAAUGUGGAACUCCAUGUGUAGCGGUGGAAUGCGUAGAUAUAUGGAAGAACAACAGUGGCGAAGGCGACAGUCUGGUAUGUUACUGACACUGAGGCUCGAAAGCGUGGGGAGCAAACAGG